rnacentral:rRNA from 1 species
GGGGGCGGUUCGCCGCCCCCGACGUUGCGAGAAGUCCAUUGAACCUUAUCAUUUAGAGGAAGGAGAAGUCGUAACAAGGUUUCCGUAGGUGAACCUGCGGAAGGAUCAUUG